AGCAGUGUGGUGUAGUGGCUUGAGCACUUGACUACGAUUCUGGAGACAAGGGUUCAAGACCUUGCUCUGCCA